AUUGAACGCUGGCGGCAUGCCUUACACAUGCAAGUCGAACGGCAGCACGGACUUCGGUCUGGUGGCGAGUGGCGAACGGGUGAGUAAUGUAUCGGAACGUACCUUUCAGUGGGGGAUAACGUAGCGAAAGUUACGCUAAUACCGCAUAUUCUGUGAGCAGGAAAGCAGGGGAUCGAAAGACCUUGCGCUGAUUGAGCGGCCGAUAUCAGAUUAGCUAGUUGGUGGGGUAAAGGCCUACCAAGGCGACGAUCUGUAGCGGGUCUGAGAGGAUGAUCCGCCACACUGGAACUGAGACACGGUCCAGACUCCUACGGGAGGCAGCAGUGGGGAAUUUUGGGCAAUGGGGGCAACCCUGAUCCAGCCAUGCCGCGUGAGUGAAGAAGGCCUUCGGGUUGUAAAGCUCUUUCGGCCGGGAAGAAAUCGCAUAGGCUAAUACCCUGUGUGGAUGACGGUACCGGAAUAAGAAGCACCGGCUAACUACGUG
rnacentral:rRNA from 1 species